rnacentral:tRNA from 1 species
GUUAUAAUAGUUUAAAUAAAACAUUGGUCUUGUAAACCAAAAAUAAAUUAACUUUUUUUUAUAACU